rnacentral:rRNA from 1 species
GGAAAGUUGACGGGGACCCGACACAAGCGGUGGAUGAUGUGGAUUAAUUCGAUGCAACGCGAAAACCUUACCUACCUUGACAUGUCCGGAAUCCCGAAGAGAUUUGGGAGUGCUCGCAAGAGAACCGGAACACAGGUGCUGCAUGGCUGUCGUCAGCUCGUGUCGUGAGAUGUUGGGUUAAGUCCCGCAACGAGCGCAACCCUUGUCAUUAGUUGCCAUCAUUUGGUUGGGCACUCUAAUGAGACUGCCGGUGACAAACCGGAGGAAGGUGGGGAUGACGUCAAGUCCUCAUGGCCCUUAUGGGUAGGGCUUCACACGUCAUACAAUGGUCGGUACAGAGGGUUGCCAACCCGCGAGGGGGAGCUAAUCCCACAAAGCCGAUCGUAGUCCGGAUCGCAGUCUGCAACUCGACUGCGUGAAGUCGGAAUCGCUAGUAAUCGUGGAUCAGCAUGUCACGGUGAAUACGUUCCCGGGCCUU